GCGUGGGUUGGCUCAGUGGUUAGAGCGUAGGUCUCGUAACCGGAAGGUUGCGGGAUCGAAUCCCGCUAGAGGCU
rnacentral:tRNA from 1 species